GUUUGUGUAGCUUAUUAAGAGCUUAAUAUUGAAGAUAUUAGGGUAAAUUUUUUUUCUCAAACA
rnacentral:tRNA from 1 species